rnacentral:lncRNA from 1 species
UCUCUUGACUUCAUGAUCCGCCCACCUCGGACUCCCAAAGGACUUUCUGCAUAAACUUCUUAAUGGUUCACUUAUGUAGAUCAAGAAUGCAUCCCAAAAUUGAUUUUUGUUCACUUAUUUGGAGCAGAAAUUGCCCUAAAGUUCUAUUUGGAGAAUUCUGUGACCCACGCAGGAAGGUGCAGGUGGAAAUACUUUAUGUAGAUGACUAACAGAUGGCAGGCCCAGUGACAGGCGUCACUCACUGCCUUGGGGAAGCACCUCCAGCCAGGAGCUGGAGUUUAUACCAGGAGACGGUUAUGGGAUCAAAUCCCAUCGCAACAUGGACCUCAUCCCAGCAUCUCAGAGUUUCAAAUGGCCUGAAGGGCCUACUUGCCGUGACGACAGAGGCAGAAGGAACAUUAUUAGCACACGGGAAAGAAAUGGAAGGUUCUGCUUCUGAGACCCUUGUGCAAACUCCACGGAGACAGGCGGAAAAGCAAGUCAUCUGCACUCAGACGCCGCCUUCCCACGCAUUUCCAUGUUUUGGUUUCCAGUUAAUGGGCGCCAUGGCCUAGCGGAGGAGGGAGCUUGGAGAACCCAUGUUUUGUCCCUGCACGGAGAAAGCGCUAGGGAAGAUGCAAGGCUGUGAGCGGCACGACCCCCAGGUUUACAAGAAGGCCCAAGAUGACUGAACCGCUGUGUAAGGAGAUGUCACCCCCAGGAGCUGAGAGGUGUCGGGAGGGCUCCAGGGCUGAGCGGCUGAUGGUGCAUCCCUUUGCAUUCUGUGGCUCCCUUCUGAAUUCCAAGGUGCCUCAUGAUCAGUCUGGCUUGAUCUUCCACCUGUUUAGGGAUGGCUCCAGCCCUGAGCAAGCGCUGGGCUGAACUUCAGAUAUGGCAAGAGGGCUCAGUCCUACCGAGAUCAGAGCUCACUAACUCUGGUGUUUAAUCUCCUUGCCUUUACUCUUUGUUAUUUUUAUUUUUUAUUUUUUUGAGACAGAGUCUUGCUCUGUUGCUCUGUCACCCAGGCUGGAGUGCAGUGGUGUAAUCUUGGCUCACUGCAAUCUCUGCCUCCCAGGUUCAAGUGAUUCUCCUGCCUCAGUUUCCCGAAUAGCUGGGAUUACAUGCAUGUGCCAUCACACUUGGCUAAUUUUUGUAUUUUUCAUAGAGACUGGGUUUUGCCAUGUUGGCCAGGCUGGUUUUGAACUGACCUCAGGUGAUCCACCUGCUUUGGCCUCCCAGAGUUCUGGAGCCUUCACUCUUUAAAUGAAAUAAAACGUAUCUAAGUUUCUUUGGCUUAUCACAGACAUUUCAGAUAUCCAAAGUCAAUGCCAACUGCUGGAACUGAUCCACUCCAGGCCCUGGAACUGAUCCACUCCAGGCACUGGAACUGAUCCACUCCAGGCCCAGGGACAGAUCCACUCCAGGCCCUGGAACUGAUCCACUCCAGGCCCUGGAACUGAUCCACUCCAGGCGCUGUAACUGAUCCACUCCAGGCACUGGAACUGAUCCACUCCAGGCACUUGAACUGAUCCACUCUAGGCCCAGGGACAGAUCCACUCCAGGCCCUGGAACUGAUCCACUCCAGGUGUGCAUCUUUCUGGAGUUCCUUGUGCCACAUGUGGGGGGAGCAGAACAACUUCCACCGAAUUUCCCCGGAACAGGGGGAGGCAGAAUCCAAUCAGAUGCCCCCUGCUGAAUGGGUUUCACAUCUCCCGGACCAUCUGAAAUGGCAGCAUCACGCUGCAGCAGCACAGGCACAAGCCCCAGCCAGGUGCACACAGCAGCCGCCAGGUGGAUGGCAUUCCCACAGAUCUCUGUCCUCACACUGUCGCACCAGCAUGGCCCACAGGGACAGGAACGAGGCCUCCCAGGGAGAGACCACGAAGUCCUGGCUGCCCUCUGGCAGGUGUUGCAGCCCUGGCUGAGCUUGGGCAACCCAGGAGAGAUCCCACAUUCCACACUGUCUCAGAUACCUGACUCACAGCCCCCCAACAGGUAGAAAUGACCGUGUGCACCAACCACUAAGCAUGGGGCUGUGUGCUCUGAGCCACUGAUAACCGACACAUUUGAAGGGACAGCAAAUGUUUCAGGCCAUGGGGCUCUGUCACCUCUGCUCAGCACAACAGCUCUGGGAAAAACCAGCUCCUGACCC